UAUAAGAUAAUAAGAUUUAAU
rnacentral:piRNA from 1 species